UGACUCCGUCGCCACUGAUCCCCAUUGUACUGGAAGAGCGCACGGCUCGCGUGUACGUCUAAUUUUUUUUUUCGCGGUGUUGCUGUGCCCUCGCCUCCUCCCCUUCUCCCCUCUGGUCGGAGGCUCUUUGAGCCACGCAGACACGCAUCGCGCAUCUUCCUGCCGUUAUUGUUCCUGUCCCUCUUCCUGCUGUUUGUGCACAGCCGCUUCUUCCCUCCCCCCACGCACCGCUUUUGUGAGAAUGGUGGGCCGACUGAAGCCCUCAACAGGGGCCUUGUCUGAUCGGGCCAGCUUUGGUCUCCGCCGCACAAAGAAGGGGGCCAACCUCAGUCGCAAGCAGGUAUUCGAGGCGCAGCAGAAGAUAUGGAAACAGAAGCAGCGCACCGCAGAGGAGGAGGCGAAGGCCGCCAAGCGGGAGCGGAUGGCGCAAAUCCAGAAGGCAAAGAACAAGAAGAUCCACCACGUCUUUGACAAAACUACCCUGCACGCCGUUCAAGAUGGCCUCACGAGCGCCAUCGAGAUGCUCGGGCAGAAGGUCAGUCCGCUUGCCCUGUUCAUCAGUGCCUUCACGGCCUUGUCCAAGGCGCCAGACCAGCGCCACGUGCCGUACAUGCUGUCGAUCAUGACCGCCUGCGUCCCGCAGCUGACGCAAGGUGUCUUGCUGCAUCAGUUGCAGGCGUGCUUCGGCCUGUGCGACCAGCUGAUGGCCGAGUAUGGCACAAACAACACCCUCGUUGUCGCCAAGUCGUUGAAGCUCGCUGUCACUGUUCUCCUCUCCAUUGAACCGCCCACGGUGGAGCAGUUGCAGCUUCUGGAGAAGCUGGAACCGAGCAAGCUGCAGACGGAGGCCAUGAAGCUGUACCUGUCCAGCUUCCGCAAGGUGCUCGAGACGAACGCCCUCUGUACGCGCGAUGCCGGAAGCCCCGCCCCCCGCAAGGAUCCGGCAUCGGCCCUCUACAGCCUCAACCCUCGACAGCGCUUCUUUUGCGCUGGUCUGCCUGUUUUUGUGCGUGUGUGCCUGCGCAACCUCUCCGAGACCCCCGCCGCCGUCGUGGCUGCUGUCAUGGCCGAGCUGACGCUGCUCUUUGACCAUGCGCUUUCGCCGUACAUUGUCGAGUCGCAAGAGGGCCAGCGGUGCCUCGACGGGCUCUUGUCGGAGGAGCUGCUGUCGCUGCUAAAGCCGCUGCAUCAGCAGUGCUGGGGAAUGUCCAUGGAGCUGCUGGCGACUGUCUUCAAGCGGAUGAGCUACUUGAAGCGCGUGCAGCCGCCACCACAGGAGGUCGCCAAGGCGCAUGCCGAGCACGCGGCGAGCAUUGGUAAGACCACCAGCGCAACACCGCACGGCCUCGAUCGCACGCAGACGUACAUUGCCUUCACAGAUCGAUUUCCGUCUGUGCCGUUCCUUGUUCAGGUGCUGAAUAAGCUUCGCGUCAUGGAUGACUCCUCCCUGAAUGCCAAGGUGGAACGCGCGCUCGUGGCGGUGGGGUGCUGCAUGUACAUGCGCGAGUUCACCGAGCUCCUCGACUUUGAUCCCCGCGCCGCAUACAAGGCGGAGACUUUGCUAGAUGAGGAUGCGGCAGAGCAGGCGGCGACCCUCUGGUCGACAAGCUACUUGCUGAACGUGUGGCGCCGCACCUCCUCACAUGACUCGCUGCCGUUUCUCAUUCAGCACUUCUUCCCGUUGAUUCAGUUUUGCAGCAGGAUGGCCGUGGACUCUGAGAAGGAGCAGCGCGUUGAGGAGUUCACGCGGUGGUCGGCGCUGCAGGUGCAAUACUGGCGCGUCGCCGCGGGCUUCUGUCACUACCCGGUGGAGGUCACGCUUGAGUCGUUUCGCGACCUGGCCAAGCAGCUUGUCGGCCUCCUCUCGAGUCCGGUCUUUGUGAACACGAGCGCGUCUGCGAUUCAUGUGCUUUGCAGUGGCUACUACGCUCUCAGGCGCGCCGAGCAGGAUGACGACGAUGACGACGACGGCCUCGACGUCACGGAAGUCCUGCCCGACGACCUGCGUGGCGAAGUCCCUAGGAGCACCGCGGCGCAGCGCCAGCAGCGUCGCCUUCGCAAAAACGCGCUCGACGAGGACCUCUACGUGCUCUCCGUCACCGACCCAGGGUGGAACCCGCACCGGUACCACAACAUCACCCAGGCGUACGCCGAGCUUGUGUGCGACACGAUUUUCGCCAAGUUCAGCGCGAACAUUAUGCCAAAGCUGUGCAACACCUUCGAAGCACACGAUUCCACAGCUGUCCUGCUGGCGAUCCAGAGCUUCUCGACAGUGUGCAACAAGCGCGUCAUGGCAACCAUUCUGGAGGGCAUUCUCAACGUCAGCUCGAACAUCGCGGCGCAAACAGCGCGAAACGCCAGCGGCAGCAAGGCAGGCAACGCCCCGCUCGCCUCCAAGCGCCGUGUUAUUCUGGAUAUCGCGUGCGCCGUGGUGCCGCAGCUGUCGCCGGAGAACGUCAUGACCCUCUUCCAGGACAUUAUCGAGCCUGUCCUGAUGGAUCCCGCACCAGAAUCACGGCUUUUGCAAAAGAAGGCGUACAAGCUCCUCUACGCCAUGUUUGAACACCGCAUCAAGGACAUCUUUCCAGUGCUGCAGCGCGUCCUGGGGCUGCUCUCCGUCAGUCGCCAGCACGUCACCGUCUCUGGUCUGAAGAUGCGCAUUCGCUGCCUUUCCUGGGCCCUCGAUGCCUGCAAGAUGUAUUGCCCUGCUGAGCUGCUGCCCACCAUCCGCUCCCUCGUCGGUGAGGUUGUCCUUUUCUCGCGUGAGCGCUCGAGCGAGACGCGGGCGAUGACGAUGGAUGUGCUGGAUAAGAUGCAGCGCUACAUGACCGCCGCCGGCGCCCCAGUGAAUGCGCUGCUGCUUAUGGUAAUAGCCGGGCUCUCGGGCAAGACCGCGAUGAUGGUGUCAAGCGCAGUGGUGUGCAUGGCGAAGGUGGUGUAUCUGACGCAUAAUGAGUUGCCAGAGUCGGACCUGCAGGCCGCCAUGGCUAUCGGGUUCCAGCUUAUGGAAUCGAAAGACGUCGAAGUGCGCACGGCGGCAGCCAUUUUCGCCCGCAUGGCGCUCAAGCUGGCGAAGCGAAGCCCCGCCGUGAAGGCGGCUGUCGCCACAGCGCUGCCGAAGCUGCUCUACGCCAUCGCCCUUGUGACGUCGCAGCCGAGUGUGUCGAGCAACACGCGCAUGCAGCUCCGCGUACUGCUGGAGAAGUGCUUGAAGCGCUUCCCCAUUGAGCAGAUCGACCCUAUCUUUCCGCUUGGCAGCAAGAACUUCCUUCGCUACACACAGAAGAUGAUGAGGCGCGAGGAGCGAAAGUCCGAGAAAGAGCUGAAGAGGCGCAGAGAGAAGCAGCAGAACGAAUUCGACAAGCUGUUCCUCGGUGCUGCCAUGAACGCCGGCCGGGAGGAGGCAGCCGAGGAGGACUUGCUCGAGGCUGGUGCCCUGAGCAGCUUUGUUGCCAAGCACGCCGCUCCCGUUUUUCAGGGCUUCGGCGGUGCCACCAUUGCUGCCGGUCGUGACAUGGACGGCGAGGACGACGAGUACGACAACAUGGUGCUUGACUUCCAGAGCGACGGAAAACUGCGCAUCAUCAGCAAGGAGGAGAAACGAGCGGAGGAGGCGCACAAGGCCCGCCAGGCGAUGGCGGAGCGGCUGCUGCGGCGCAGGAGCGGACUAAUGGUGGCCUCUGCCUUGAGCGAUGAGGCGAGCGGGCGCCCAGGUAAGCGCUCGCGUGCAGAGGACGAGGACUUUGAGAAUGAGGAGCUCACGCUUCGCUAUGGCAGCCGUGCCACGGAGGAUGCAGCCCAGAGGGCCACCGAAGUGUACAAAGGGGGUCGUGGUUCCGUCGGCCUGAGUGCGCUGCAGGUGUCCCGUCUGCGUGACCAGAAGGCAGUGAAGCGCGAGAUGAAACGCCAGCGUGUGGAGGAGGACAUUCGAAAGGGUGACGAGUUCCGCGGAGCAGGCGACGGCGAUGUGAAGCGCGGCAACCUUGACCCGUUCGCGUACGUGCCGCUGAACCGUCGUUACAUGAACCGCCGCAAUGCCCGCGACGCCGUCCACCGCUUCGAAGCCGUGACCAACAAGCACCUGAAGGGCAACAAGGCAAAGGCCGCGAAGGGGGCGAGAGACAAGUGAGGCAGUGGCCUGCCGCCGUUGUAGUGUCCGUGUGCACGUUGUGAUGGCGCCGCCGCCCCUUUGAGUUACUAUCGCGCUUCUGCCUCCCCCCCCCGGUGGGUGUCUUCCCCGUUUCGCGCCUUGGCUGCGCUCCUCCGUGAUGGCCGGCUUGUGUAGUGUCACCUUUGCGGCUGUGCGCACACCAUCAUGUGCGCUCCGCUGUGUCUCGAUGCGUGUCUGAGAACGAGCGGAUUUAAGUAUGAUUGUCUGUGAAUGCCCGUGUGCGUGUGGGUGUCUUUUGGUCUCUGACUUCCGUCUCUUAAAGGAUCCACCUCUGGCGUGGAGUGAUAAUCCAAGAAAGAAGCAGCCCUGGGAACCGUGGAGAGCGCCUGAGAGCCAACUGUCUCUGCUCUUCUCCCGCCGUGCUUUCUUAUGGCGUGCGCAGUCGUUGGUGUCGGUGGAAGUCUGGGUGGAGGUGGGGGGUAGUGAUGAGGUGCCAGCUGCCUGACGGCAAGCGCCUUUCCAUAUCCGCCUAUUCGCACUCUUCCACUUGCCACAGCCGUGCGCUGGCGCCUCGCAAUUUCGGGAAACAGGAAAGGGCGCGAGCUUAUCGCGGGGGAGAAGUGUGGCACGGGCCCUAUGAAAGCCGCGAAAGCAGCGCCGUCACAAGAGGAAAGGGGAGCUCUGUUCAUCUUUCCUUUGCACGCGCGCUUGUGUAUGCCCUUGUUCUCUGACCUUCAUGAGUUCCGCACCUGGACAUCACCGGGGAGCGCCCUACGCGGUUUUGGCAGUGGGAGAGCGUAGCACGGGUAGGGUUUAUUGACGUCAUCAAGACGGAUUGUGGAUGUGACUUGCCAUCUCGCCACCCUUCCUCUUUCUUCUAUCUUUUUGCGUUCUGCUGCCCCCUCCCCCUCCUCCUAUACAAACAUGUUCCACCAUAUCAUCAUCCCCUCUGCCCACCAACGUGAACUACACUUGCGAUCCUAUAUCGCACCACCACCACUGGCACGCGCACACAUAAAACCAACGACGCGGCGGACGCCCUCUGUUUUUUUUUUUUUUGUGCUCACGUAUUAUUUCUCUGCACGUGAUAUGUUUACUCCUCCAUCACUUGGCUUGCCAG
rnacentral:misc_RNA from 1 species